rnacentral:rRNA from 1 species
UGAUACCGCCCAAGAGUUCAUAUCGACGGCGGUGUUUGGCACCUCGAUGUCGGCUCAUCACAUCCUGGGGCUGAAGUCGGUCCCAAGGGUAUGGCUGUUCGCCAUUUAAAGUGGUACGCGAGCUGGGUUUAGAACGUCGUGAGACAGUUCGGUCCCUAUCUUGCGUGGGCGUUGGAAAAUUGAAAGGGGCUGCUCCUAGUACGAGAGGACCGGAGGGGACGAACCUCUGGUGUUCGGGUUGUCAUGC